rnacentral:rRNA from 1 species
AUACGUAGGGGGCAAGCGUUGUCCGGAUUUACUGGGUGUAAAGGGAGCGUAGGCGGCAUGGUAAGUUAGAUGUGAAAGCCCGGGGCUUAACCCCGAGGAUUGCAUUUAAAACUAUCAAGCUAGAGUACAGGAGAGGAAAGCGGAAUUCCUAGUGUAGCGGUGAAAUGCGUAGAUAUUAGGAAGAACACCAGUGGCGAAGGCGGCUUUCUGGACUGAAACUGACGCUGAUGCUCGAAAGCGUGGGGAGCGAACAGGAUUAGAUACCCUGGUAGUCCACGCCGUAAACGAUGAGUGCUAGGUGUUGGGGAGGAAUCCUCGGUGCCGCAGCAAACGCAAUAAGCACUCCACCUGGGGAGUACGACCGCAAGGUUGAA